rnacentral:rRNA from 1 species
UGAAUUGACGGGACCCGCACAAGCGGUGGAUGAUGUGGAUUAAUUCGAUGCAGCGCGAAAAACCUUACCUACCCUCGACAUGUCCGGAAUCCCGAAGAGAUUUGGGAGUGCUCGAAAGAGAACCUGCACACAGGUGCUGCAUGGCUGUCGUCAGCUCGUGUCGUGAGAUGUUGGGUUAAGUCCCGCAACGAGCGCAACCCUUGCCAUUAGUUGCUACGAAAGGGCACUCUAAUGGGACUGCCGGUGACAAACCGGAGGAAGGUGGGGAUGACGUCAAGUCCUCAUGGCCCUUAUAGGUGGGGCUACACACGUCAUACAAUGGCCGGUACAGAGGGUAGCCAACCCGCGAGGGGGAGCCAAUCCCACAAAGCCGGUCGUAGUCCGGAUCGCAGUCUGCAACUCGACUGCGUGAAGUCGGAAUCGCUAGUAAUCGCGGAUCAGCAUGUCGCGGUGAAUACGUUCCCGGGUCUU